UACGUAGGGUGCGGGCGUUAAUCGGAUUUACUGGGCGUAAAGCGUGCGCAGGCGGCCCGUUAAGACAGGUGUGAAAUCCCUGGGCUCAACCUAGGAAUUGCGCUUGUGACUGGCGGGCUCGAGUACGGUAGAGGGGGGUGGAAUUCCUGGUGUAGCAGUGAAAUGCGUAGAGAUCAGGAGGAACACCGAUGGCGAAGGCAGCCCCCUGGGCCUGUACUGACGCUCAUGCACGAAAGCGUGGGGAGCAAACAGG
rnacentral:rRNA from 1 species